rnacentral:tRNA from 1 species
CGAUUUAGCACAGUGGUAGUGCAACGCAUUCGUAACGCGUAGGUCGGGGGUUCAAAUCCCUCAAUCGGC